rnacentral:rRNA from 1 species
CACAUAAGCAGUAAGUGUUGUUAAUAUUUGAUCGGUGUAAACAAUGCUAUCAUUUUGUUAUUUCUCGUUAUGUAUAUUCUUUAAAAUAGCGGUUAAAUGCGAUUAAUUUAAAGGGUUUUUUCAUUUUGAAGGUAAUCAUAGGUGAUUUAUCAUUAAAAAAUACUAGCAUGAAAGUAUAGGGAAAGAUAAGGAUUAGGUACCCUUGUAUGCUAUACCGCAAAUAAAUGGGUUUUUUUUAUAGAAAAAUUUGACAUAAUACCUAGACCGGGGGAAAACAGCCGCAAGGCUUAAACUAAAAAAAAUUGGCGGGACUUUUUAAGCCGUGGAACAUGUGGUUUAAUGCGGUAAUCCUCGCUACACCUCACUAGCAUCUAAUUGGUUUUUGCUGCUGAUCAGUAGUUUUCGUAAAUUUUAUAGUAUUGCAUGGCUGCCGUCAGUUUGUUUUGUGACGAUCAGCAUUUAGUUGUAUGACAAACGCUAACCUAGACCGAUUGCGUUGUUUAGGCAAAAGACAAGUCUGUAUGGUCUUUUUAUGUUAGGCUACACACGUGUUACAUAGAAAUUAUUCCAGAUAUGGUACUUUAAGUAAUUAAGGUGUUAUAAUAUUUUUUUUACCAUAGAUUAAGGUUUGAAAUUCAGCCUUAUGAAAUAGAAAUGGCCAGUAAUCGUAGUUUAGGAUGCUACGGUGAAGUGUACUUAAGUUUGCACACACUGCCCAUCACGCUCAGAAAAUUCUUACAAUUUAAUUAUACUAAAUUGUUUUCUAUAAGUAUGGUUGUAGUUAUCCGUGUUGCGAGUUUGUCGGGGUAAUCAGAGUGAAG